GCCUACGGGACGCAGCAGUAGGGAAUCUUCGGCAAUGGGCGAAACCCUGAUGCAGCGACGCCGCGUGUGGGAAGACGGUCCUCUGGAUUGUAAACCACUGUCCCCAGGGACGAAGAUGACGGUACCUGGGGAGGAAGCUCCGGCUAACUACGUGCCAGCAGCCGCGGUAAUACGUAGGGAGCAAGCGUUGUCCGGAAUUACUGGGUGUAAAGGGAGCGUAGGCGGGAUGGCAAGUUGGGUGUUAAAUCUACCGGCUCAACUGGUAGUCGCACUCAAAACUGCUAUUCUUGAGUGAAGUAGAGGCA
rnacentral:rRNA from 1 species